rnacentral:lncRNA from 1 species
CCUGGUAAUAACGUAAAAGUGCGAAAAUGAAAUUUAGAUAACUCUAUGGCUUAAAAUUACAUAUCUUCUUCAUGUGUUUCCAUCUUUUCGUCUACCUACACAACAAUGAGUAAGUAUCGACAUGGAAACAUAUGAAGUGAGAAAUCAUAUCCAAGAAAGUAACACUCGUAGAGUGAAGAAUAUUACUUAUACAUAAUAUAAACCAUACACAACAGCUAAACAUCAAUCAUCAUCAUAUGCAAGAGAAUGAAAGAUACACCCUAAUCAUUGAUGACAAAAUUCGGCAAGUGCACCGAAUCGUUUUCAAGUAAUAAAGUAGUAAGUAAAAUCGUCUCUACGAGAAUUGUCGUUUCAACUAGGCAACUAGCUAAACUUGUUAAAACAGUAAAUAAAAGAAAUAAAAUGGGGAGAGUUUGCAAGUUUGAUUUGAUUACACAAAGCGGUUGAGUUGAUUGCGGAAAAUUAAAGGUUUUGAAUUGCAGAUUUUUGUAGUGAUAAGGAUUCAUUGAAUCCCCUCUAUUUUCGUGUUGGAUUUAUUCUCAUCAAUUAUCAGUUAUGAGAUAAGGGUUUUCUUUAAGUGGUAAGUUCGAUGGGAUCUAAAGUCCCUCCAAAUGUCAAGUUGCUCCUCUGAUCACCCUAAGAUCAUAUGUACGAUACGAGAUACAUGGUCGUCAAGCCUAUAGAGAUCUGUAUAAGUGGUUGGAUAGUUAAUUAUGGUGAUGAUUUACUCUUUCACAUGUAAUUGAAACAUAAACGAAGUUGGUAUUCCUAAAUUGUCAUCUACCCUUAAUUAAACCUAUGAAUUUAAGAAUUUCGACACAUA